GCGGGAAUGCCGGAGUGGUCAAACGGGCUGCGUUUAGGCCGCAGUAGCUUAGUGCUUACAGAGGUUCGAAUCCUCUUUCCCGCA
rfam:Berkelbacteria bacterium GW2011_GWA1_36_9 TS31_C0030, whole genome shotgun sequence.